rnacentral:rRNA from 1 species
UACGUAGGGUGCAAGCGUUGUCCGGAAUUAUUGGGCGUAAAGAGCUCGUAGGCGGUCUGUCGCGUCUGCUGUGAAAACUCGGGGCUUAACCCCGGGCCCGCAGUGGGUACGGGCAGACUAGAGUGCGGUAGGGGAGACUGGAAUUCCUGGUGUAGCGGUGAAAUGCGCAGAUAUCAGGAGGAACACCGGUGGCGAAGGCGGGUCUCUGGGCCGUAACUGACGCUGAGGAGCGAAAGCGUGGGGAGCGAACAGG